rnacentral:snRNA from 1 species
AUCGCUUCUCGGCCUUUUGGCUAAGAUCAAGUGUGGAAUGGAAAUAAGAUAUUUUUUUAAAAAAUAUGUUAUUAGUGCAUUGUUUGUCAACUUUUUCAUCCCUGUGACUAAAAUACCUGACAAGAACAA